rnacentral:rRNA from 1 species
UAAUACAUGCACCAAAGCUCUGACCUUGCGGAAAGAGUGCAUUUAUUAGAGCAAAACCAAGCGGCCUCGGUCGUUUUUUGCUGACUCAGAAUAACUUAGCUGAUCGCACGGUCUUUGAACCGGCGACGUGUCUUUUGAGUAUCUGCCUUAUCAAUUUUCGAUGGUAGUGUAUCUGACUACCAUGGUGUUGACGGGUAACGGAGAAUAAGGGUUCGACUCCGGAGAAGGGGCCUGAGAAAUGGCCACUACGUCUAAGGAUGGCAGCAGGCGCGCAAAUUACCCACUCUCGGAAUGAGGAGGUAGUGACGAGAAAUAACGAGACCGUUCUCUAUGAGGCCGGUUAUCGGAAUGGGUACAAUUUAAACCCUUUAACGAGUAUCUAUGAGAGGGCAAGUCUGGUGCCAGCAGCCGCGGUAAUUCCAGCUCUCAAAAUGCAUAGAACCAUUGCUGCGGUUAAAAAGCUCGUAGUUGAAUUUAUGCCAGAGGCCUGGUCCACCUUAUGGGUGUGUACUAGGUUCUUCGGCUUUUCGUCGGUUUUCUUGUCGUGGCCUUUACUGGUGGCGGCAAGUGGCUGACAAUUUUACUUUGAACAAAUCAGAGUGCUCAAAACAGGCGUUUUGCUUGUAUGCUUUUGCAUGGAAUAAUAGAAUAUGACUUCGGUCUAGUUUUAUUGGUUUUAUAGACCGUUGUAAUGAUUAAAAGAGACAAACGGGGGCAUUCGGNUUGUUGCGUGAGAGGUGAAAUUCUUGGACCGCAGCAAGACGACCUACA